GGAGAACGGGUGAGUAAUACUAUCGGAACGUACCCCGUAGUGGGGGAUAACUCGGCGAAAGCCGUGCUAAUACCGCAUAUGCUCUACGGAGGAAAGCAGGGACCGCAAGGCCUUGUGCUAUGGGAGCGGCCGAUGUCCGAUUAGCUAGUUGGUGGGGUAAUGGCCUACCAAGGCGACGAUCGGUAGCUGGUCUGAGAGGAUGAUCAGCCACACUGGGACUGAGACACGGCCCAGACUCCAUACGGGAGGCAGCAGUGGGGAAUUUUGGACAAUGGGGGCAACCCUGAUCCAGCCAUGCCGCGUGCGGGAACGAAGGCCUUCGGGUUGUAAACCGUUUUGGUCGGGAAGAAAAGGCGUCGGUUAAUAGCUGGCGUUCUUGACGGUACCGGCAGAAUAAGCACCGGUAACUACGUGCCAGCAGCCGCG
rnacentral:rRNA from 1 species